rnacentral:snoRNA from 1 species
AACCUCCAGAUUCCUUACCCCACGGAGCUAAAUAAUGAUCUGAGUGGCUAAAAAAAGGGAGGAAAAGUAAAAUUAAGUGGACUUGGAAUUUUUAGUGACAUGCAAGUUCAUUUGAAAUAGGC